UCAAGCGUGAGGUAAGAGCAUUUGGUGGAUGCCUUGGCAUGUACAGGCGAUGAAGGACGUGGCACGCUGCGAUAAGCGUCGGGGAGUUGUGAGCAAACUUUGAUCCGGCGAUUUCCGAAUGGGGAAACCCACCUUCACCAUUUCAUUCUGGGUCCGUUUCGGCGGGUUCUGAGUGAGGUGGAUAAGGUAUCCCAAGUUGAAUAAAAUAGACUUGGUGAAGCGAACCCGGGGAACUGAAACAUCUCAGUACCUGGAGGAAAAGACAUCAACCGAGAUUCCGUUAGUAGUGGCGAGCGAACGCGGACCAGGCCAGUGCCUCAUCUUCAACUAGCAGAACACUUUGGAAAGAGUGGCCAUAGCGGGUGACAGCCCCGUAUGCGAAAGUGAUGGAUGAGGACUCGAGUAGGGCGGGACACGUGAAAUCCUGUCUGAACAUGGGGGGACCACCCUCCAAGCCUAAAUACUCGUACAUGACCGAUAGCGAACACAGUACCGUGAGGGAAAGGUGAAAAGCACCCCGAUGAGGGGAGUGAAACAGUACCUGAAACCGAAUGCUUACAAGCAGUUGGAGCCUCUUUAGGGGGUGACAGCGUACCUCUUGCAUAAUGGGUCAGUGACUUAGUUUAUCGAGCAAGCUUAAGCCGUUAGGUGUAGGCGCAGCGAAAGCGAGUCUGAAUAGGGCGACAGAGUUCGAUGAAUUAGACCCGAAACCCGGUGAUCUAGGCAUGACCAGGUUGAAGGUGCGGUAACACGCACUGGAGGACCGAACCGUUGAAUGUUGAAAAAUUCUCGGAUGAGUUGUGUUUAGGGGUGAAAGGCCAAUCAAACCGGGAAAUAGCUGGUUCUCCGCGAAAUCUAUUGAGGUAGAGCGUCGAAUAUUUGCCGUUGGGGGUAGAGCACUGGAUGGGUGCGGGGGUCGCGAGAUCUACCAAUCCUAACCAAACUCCGAAUACCAACGAGUCUAGUUCGGCAGACAGACGGCGGGUGCUAAGGUCCGUCGUCAAAAGGGAAACAGCCCUAACCUACAGCUAAGGUCCCCAAGUCAUCACUAAGUGGGAAAGCAUGUGGGAUUUCCAAAACAACCAGGAGGUUGGCUUAGAAGCAGCCAUCCUUUAAAGAAAGCGUAACAGCUCACUGGUCUAAAUAAGAGAUCCUGCGGCGAAAAUGUAACGGGGCUAAAGUGAUGCACCGAAGCUUAGGGUGUGUAGCAAUACACGCGGUAGCGGAGCGUUCCGUAAGCCUGCGAAGCCAUCUGGUAAUGGGUGGUGGAGGUAUCGGAAGUGCGAAUGCAGACAUGAGUAGCGAUAAAGAGGGUGAGAUGCCCUCUCGCCGAAAGACCAAGGGUUCCUGCUUAAAGCUAAUCUGAGCAGGGUAAGCCGGCCCCUAAGACGAGCCCGAAGGGGGUAGUCGAUGGGAACCACGUUAAUAUUCGUGGGCCUGGUGGUGUGUGACGGAUCUCGUGUAUUGUCUGACCUUAUCGGAUUGGUCAGGCUUUGAAGAGGUUCCAGGAAAUAGCCCCACCGUAUAGACCGUACCCGAAACCGACACAGGUGGUCAGGUAGAGUAUACCAAGGCGCUUGAGAGAAGUAUCCUGAAGGAACUCGGCAAAUUGCCUCCGUACCUUCGGAAGAAGGAGGCCCCAUCUUAAGGCAACUUUUGGUGGGGGGCACAGGCCAGGGGGUAGCGACUGUUUAUCAAAAACACAGGACUCUGCUAAGUCGGCUUCAAGACGACGUAUAGGGUCUGACGCCUGCCCGGUGCUCGAAGGUUAAGAGGAGGAGUGCAAGCUCUUGAUCGAAGCCCCGGUAAACGGCGGCCGUAACUAUAACGGUCCUAAGGUAGCGAAAUUCCUUGUCGGGUAAGUUCCGACCUGCACGAAUGGUGUAAUGAUGGCCAGGCUGUCUCCACCAG
rnacentral:rRNA from 1 species